UAGAGUUUGAUCCUGGCUCAGAACGAACGCUGGCGGCGUGCCUAACACAUGCAAGUCGAACGAGAAAUCGGGCACUCAGGCAACUGAGUGCCGGAGAGUAAAGUGGCGCACGGGUGAGUAACACGUGGGUAACCUACCCCCGAAUCUGGGAUAACUUCGCGAAAGCGUUGCUAAUACCGGAUAUUGUCCUAUUGGUUGUGACCUUUGGGAUGAAAGGCAACCUCUUCAUGAAAGUUGUCGUUCAGGGAUGGGCCCGCGUACCAUUAGCUUGUUGGUGGGGUAACGGCUCACCAAGGCUACGAUGGUUAGCUGGUCUGAGAGGAUGAUCAGCCACACUGGAACUGAAACACGGUCCAGACUCCUACGGGAGGCAGCAGUGAGGAAUUUUGCGCAAUGGGGGAAACCCUGACGCAGCAACGCCGCGUGAGUGAAGAAGGCUUUCGGGUCGUAAAGCUCUGUCAAGUGGGAAAAAAGUCUGAUGAUUAAUAGUUGUCAGAUCUGAUGGUACCACUGGAGGAAGCACCGGCUAACUCCGUGCCAGCAGCCGCGGUAAUACGGAGGGUGCAAGCGUUGUUCGGAAUUACUGGGCGUAAAGGGCGUGCAGGCGAGUUGGUAAGUCAGAUGUGAAAGCCCUGGGCUUAACCCAGGAAGUGCAUUUGAAACUGCCAUCCUUGAGUAUGGGAGAGGGAAGUGGAAAUC
rnacentral:rRNA from 1 species